CACGUAGGGCGCGAGCGUUGUCCGGAAUUAUUGGGCGUAAAGAGCUCGUAGGCGGCCUGUUGCGUCCGCUGUGAAAGCCCGGGGCUUAACCCCGGGUCGGCAGUGGAUACGGGCAGGCUAGAGGUAGGUAGGGGAGAAUGGAAUUCCCGGUGUAGCGGUGAAAUGCGCAGAUAUCGGGAGGAACACCGGUGGCGAAGGCGGGUCUCUGGGCAGUAACUGACGGCUGAGGAGCGAAAGCGUGGGGAGCGAACAGGG
rnacentral:rRNA from 1 species